rnacentral:rRNA from 1 species
UUGACCUCGGAUUAGCUAGGAAUACCCGCUGAACUUAAGCAUAUCAAUAAGCGGAGGA